rnacentral:rRNA from 1 species
GACGAACGCUGGCGGCGUGCCUAAUACAUGCAAGUCGAGCGGACGGAUGGGAGCUUGCUCCCAGACCGUCAGCGGCGGACGGGUGAGUAACACGUGGGCAACCUGCCUGUAAGACUGGGAUAACUCCGGGAAACCGGGGCUAAUACCGGAUAACUCUUUCCCUCACAUGAGGGAAAGCUGAAAGAUGGCAUCUCGCUAUCACUUACAGAUGGGCCCGCGGCGCAUUAGCUAGUUGGUGAGGUAACGGCUCACCAAGGCGACGAUGCGUAACCGACCUGAGGGGGUGGUCGCCCACACGGGGAGUGAGCCAGGCCCCAGACCCGUGGGGGGGGAAGCGGUGGGGAAUCUUCCGGAAGGAAGGAGGGUGUGAGGGAGCACCACCGGGGAAAGGAUGAGGUUGUUAGGAUCAAAAAGCUCUGCUGGCGGGAAAGAAGAAAAACCGGAGUACCUGCGAGUACUUUGACGGUCCCGGAACAAAAAGCCACGGCUAACUACGGG